CAGAGUGAGCAAGGUAUAUAUAGCUGGGAUAAUGAGUAAAUGACUAACAGGUGCUAAUGAUCAGACAGAAUUACAGACAAGGGACUAUGGGAAAUGGAGUUCACAACAUAUAACACGAAAACAGGAGAGUGCCCUCAAGUGGCCAGUCCAGGGCACCACAACCAGACACUGUGACAUUACCCCCCCUCUACGGAGCAGAUACCACACGCUCCACCAGAAAACAAAAAGUUCAGGAGGGAGGUGGAACUGAGGUGGACCAGGGGGAGGGAUGGCGGGCCAGGACCAUGCAAUGGAAGGGGACCAGGGAACACAG